rnacentral:rRNA from 1 species
GGCUUAACACAUGCAAGUCGAACGGUAACAGAAAAAGCUUGCUUUUUGCUGACGAGUGGCGAACGGGUGCGUAACGCGUAUGCAACCUACCUUCUUCUAAGGAAUAGCCCAGAGAAAUUUGGAUUAAUACCUUAUGAUAAUAUUUAUUCGCAUGUUUAAAUAUUUAAAACUCCGGUGGAAGAAGAUGGGCAUGCGUAACAUUAGUUUGUUGGUGAGGUAAUGGCUCACCAAGACUACGAUGUUUAGGGGGUCUGAGAGGAUGAUCCCCCACACUGGUACUGAGACACGGACCAGACUCCUACGGGAGGCAGCAGUGAGGAAUAUUGGUCAAUGGACGAAAGUCUGAACCAGCCAUGCCGCGUGAAGGAUGACGGCCCUACGGGUUGUAAACUUCUUUUGUAUAGGAAGAAACCCCUCUACGUGUAGAGGGUUGACGGUACUAUUCGAAUAAGCACCGGCUAACUCCGUGCCAGCAGCCGCGGUAAUACGGAGGGUGCGAGCGUUAUCCGGAAUUAUUGGGUUUAAAGGGUGCGUAGGCGGAAAUUUAAGUCAGUGGUGAAAGCCUGCAGCUUAACUGUAGAAUUGCCAUUGAUACCGGAUUUCUUGAAUCUAAUAGAAGUAGGCGGAAUAUGACAUGUAGCGGUGAAAUGCUUAGAUAUGUCAUAGAACACCGAUAGCGAAGGCAGCUUACUAUGUUAGUAUUGACGCUAAUGCACGAAAG